CCUUUGAUGUUCUUACCAGCAUCUUAUUUUAAUAUACUUUUUCUUUAUCGUUAGCCAGCAAAUGCAGAACAGCUAAAACACAAUGUUAAAGACUCAGCAGUGCAUAUCUGAUUGAAUAACCAAUAAACAAAAUACAGUGUUUCAUUUUCCCUGAAACUGCUGCCCUCAUUUCUCCAAAGACAGAUCAUGGAGGCAAAAAGUAGGUCUGAUCCUGAGAAUUUUAUUGCUUAAUUUCUUUUUCCUGAAUUUCUCUAUUGCCCUGUAUAUUCCUGUCAUAUUCUCUUCCAGAAGUUGCUCAAAAAGUUUGGGUGAGUCUGACGAACAAAUUGUCAAAGCCACCUACUCUACGUAUUUUAUAAACCCGGAACUGAUUUGAAAUGAAGGAAAACAUAAGAAGCUUAUUAAUGAAUUAUCUUAUGCAGUCCAUAAACAGAAGACACCAGACCUCUGUCUUUUGGCAUCUCACAUGUAGACUAAGAAUUGUGCGUAGACUCUGGCUAUACUAAGUGAGAAGCUGAAAUCCUAAAAUGUUCAUCUUCCAACUUUUUCCAGUCUGUGGUCUGUCUUGGGAUCAGCAGUAAUUGCCUGGACAGCUAUAAUGGCUUCAUUAAUUUUUGUUUGUGUUCUGUGUUCUUCAUGCAAUGAUAGAAGAAAUGCAUCUCCUGGGUCAAAGUCUAAAUGUUCUUUUCUAAACUGAUCAACUGCAUCUGAUAUAAACACUCCGAAUGUAAAAAGCAAAUUGCAUUAGGGAUUUCCGCAUAAUCAUCAGGGCAACAAAACUGAUGUUUAGCCAAAACCAUUAUACCAGCUUCAAAAUCAGGAAUAUUUACAUUUAAAUUUGUUUUUUAAGCUGCAUUGUCAACAUUUUUUUUGUAUUCUCGUGUGCCAAAAAUUUGUAUUUUUCAGUACUGUGUCCGUAUUCACAAUUUACAGCUAAUCCAGAGAGCCAGUCAGUUGUGUUUUUAUUGAUUUGUAGUCUCAAAGGAAAAGCUAACAUCUUG
rnacentral:lncRNA from 1 species